AAGAUCAACCUCGAUGAGUCCGACAAGUCGACAGAAGCAGAAGUAGAAGCUGAGUCUGUUGAGACUGAUCAUGAGUAGUUUUGCUUGUCGCAAUUCUACUCUCUUUUGGUUAAAAUUAACUCGGUUAACUCUAGUAAUUAACUCAUGUUUAUGAUGUAUUUAAUUUUAAGCGCCAAUACUUGUUUUGGUGUGGUUGCUGGUUGGUAUAGCUAGGUUUGGACCUCUGUUUUGGUACUUAUUGGAAUUGUGUUUGUUGUUGGAUAUUAGUUGGUAAAUUUGAAAUGGGGAAGUGCUAUUUUCAAAUGUUGUAUUGCCUUUUUUUUUCCUUUAAAGUGUUGGCAAAGAGUCUUGUAAAGUGUAGCUAUUGUUAUAAAUGGAUCAUAUUUCACUGUUGCUAAAUAUCAAAAAAUGUUGGUAAUGAUAUAACAAAUGUAGGUAAAGGUAGAAAGGUUUAUAUAAAAAUGUAAACAUAACCAACAAGAUGUUGCCAUUGAUAACUUAGUUUUUCCAAGUUUAAUGUUACAGUAGCACAAAUGGUGUUACCAUAGACCUAUAGUUACAUCUCAUUUGGUGUUACCAAAACAAAUAAAAGUGUAGGCAUAGAGGUGUAUGGUUACACUUUUUGAGGUGUAACCAAAAAAUGACAAUGUGUUACCCUAGACCCCUAUGGUAGCACCGAUUUUAGUUACGAUCCUAUUUUGUGAAAAAGUGUUACCAUAGCCCUUUUUUGCACUUUC
rnacentral:lncRNA from 1 species